AUAUCAAUAAGCGGAGGAAAAGAAACCAACAGGGAUUCCCCUAGUAACGGCGAGUGAAGCGGGAACAGCUCAAAUUUGAAAGCUGGCCUUCUGGUCCGCAUUGUAAUUUGUAGAGGAUGCUUUUGGCGCGGUGCCUUCUGAGUUCCUUGGAACAGGACGCCUUAGAGGGUGAGAGCCCCGUACAGUUGGACACCUAGCCUUUGUAAAGCUCCUUCGACGAGUCGAGUAGUUUGGGAAUGCUGCUCUAAAUGGGAGGUAAAUUUCUUCUAAAGCUAAAUACCGGCCAGAGACCGAUAGCGCACAAGUAGAGUGAUCGAAAGAUGAAAAGCACUUUGAAAAGAGGGUUAAAUAGCACGUGAAAUUGUUGAAAGGGAAGCGCUUAUGACCAGACUUUUUCCUGGCGGAUCAUCCGGCGUUCUCGCCGGUGCACUUCGUCAGGUUUAGGCCAACAUCGAUUUCCGCCGGGGGAUAAAGACUUCGGGAAUGUGACUCCCUCCGGGGAGUGUUAUAGCCCGUUGUGUAAUACCCUGGUGGGGAUCGAGGUUCGCGCUUCGGCAAGGAUGUUGGCAUAAUGGUCAUCAGUGACCCGUCUUGAAACACGGACCAAGGAGUCGAACAUUUGUGCGAGUGUUUGGGUGUUAAACCCUCACGCGUAAUGAAAGUGAACGGAGGUGAGAGCCUUAGGGUGCAUCAUCGACCGAUCCUGAUGUCUUCGGAUGGAUUUGAGUAAGAGCAUAAAUGUUCGGACCCGAAAGAUGGUGAACUAUGCGUGGAUAGGGUGAAGCCAGAGGAAACUCUGGUGGAGGCUCGCAGCGGUUCUGACGUGCAAAUCGAUCGUCAAAUCUGCGCAUGGGGCGAAAGACUAAUCGA
rnacentral:rRNA from 1 species